CCACCACCCACACCACCUCCACCUCGUCCACCUCCUCCUCCUCCUCGUUAUCGUGGCUGGUGGGAGCGCUGACGGCCUGGGUCAAGAGACCCUGCCAAUGCCCAGCGAGGUGUGGGUGCAGUCUGUGAACUUCUUCCAUGAAGUCCACUGGACUCCUGGGGCAGGUACACCGCCCGGAACGUCGUUCGCCGUCCAGUACCGCGGGGUCUACACAGGAGCACCGUGGAGAGACAUCAAACACUGCUCCCUCAUCAGACAUCACCACCAACAUCACCACCAACAUCACCACCAACAUCACCACCAACACCACCGCCAAAAUCACCAAGUCCACCAUUUGAGUAGUCCCUCUCCAAAUGCUUGCUCAUCACCAUCACCCUUCCCUCCACCUACCAACUCACCCAACAACUCACCCGCCAACUCACCCACCAACUCAAAAACCAACUCACCCACC